rnacentral:rRNA from 1 species
CAGCAGCCACGGUAAUACGAAGGGGGCUAGCGUUGUUCGGAUUUACUGGGCGUAAAGGGCGCGUAGGCGGACUGAUAAGUCAGGGGUGAAAUCCCAAGGCACAACCUUGGAACUGCCUUUGAUACUGUUUGUCUUGAGUUCGAGAGAGGUAAGUGGAACUGCGAGUGUAGAGGUGAAAUUCGUAGAUAUUCGCAAGAACACCAGUGGCGAAGGCGGCUUACUGGCUCGAAACUGACGCUGAGGCGCGAAAGCGUGGGGAGCAAACAGGAUUAGAGACCCGGGUAGUCCCUGUCUCUUAUAC